AACGAACGCUGGCGGCAGGCUUAACACAUGCAAGUCGAACGAGAACGGAUUAUAGCUUGCUAUAAUUGUCAGCUAAGUGGCGCACGGGUGAGUAAUGUAUAGGUAAUAUGCCUCUUACUAAGGGAUAACAAAUGGAAACGUUUGCUAAUACCUUAUACUCCUUAUUAACAGAAGUUAAUAAGGGAAAGAUUUAUUGGUAAGAGAUUAGCCUGUAUUGUAUCAGUUAGUUGGUGGGGUAAUGGCUUACCAAGACUAUGACACAUAGCUGGUUUGAGAGGAUGAUCAGUCACACUGGAACUGAGACACGGUCCAGACUCCUACGGGAGGCAGCAGUGGGGAAUAUUGCACAAUGGACGAAAGUCUGAUGCAGCAACGCCGCGUGGAGGAUGACACAUUUCGGUGCGUAAACUCCUUUUAUAUGAGAAGAUAAUGACGGUAUUAUAUGAAUAAGCACCGGCUAACUCCGUGCCAGCCGCCGCAGUAA
rnacentral:rRNA from 1 species